CCUACGGGAGGCAGCAGUGGGGAAUUUUGCGCAAUGGGCGGAAGCCUGACGCAGCAACGCCGCGUGAGUGAUGAAGGCUUUCGGGUCGUAAAGCUCUGUCAGAGGGGAAGAAACCCCUGCAGGUUAAUAUCCUGCAGGCUUGACGGUACCCUCAAAGGAAGCACCGGCUAACUCCGUGCCAGCAGCCGCGGUAAUACGGAGGGUGCAAGCGUUGUUCGGAAUUAUUGGGCGUAAAGCGCGUGUAGGCGGCUUGCUAAGUCUGAUGUGAAAGCCCUGGGCUCAACCCAGGAAGUGCAUUGGAAACUGGUCGGCUUGAGUACGGGAGAGGGUAGUGGAAUUCCGAGUGUAGGGGUGAAAUCCGUAGAUAUUCGGAGGAACACCGGUGGCGAAGGCGGCUACCUGGACCGAUACUGACGCUGAGACGCGAAAGCGUGGGGAGCAAACAGGAUUAGAUACCCUGGUAGUCCACGCCGUAAACGAUGGGUACUAGGUGUCGCGGGUAUUGACCCCUGCGGUGCCGAAGCUAACGCAUGAAGUACCCCGCCUGGGGAGUACGGCCGCAAGGCUAAAACUCAAAGGAAUGAC
rnacentral:rRNA from 1 species